GUGAGGAAUUUUCCGCAAUGGGCGAAAGCCUGACGCAGCCAUGCCGCGUGAAUGAUGAAGGUCUUAGGAUUGUAAAAUUCUUUCACCGGGGACGAUAAUGACGGUACCCGGAGAAGAAGCUCCGGCUAACUUCGUGCCAGCAGCCGCGGUAAUACGAAGGGGGCUAGCGUUGCUCGGAAUUACUGGGCGUAAAGGGCGCGUAGGCGGACAGCUUAGUCAGAGGUGAAAGCCCAGGGCUCAACCUUGGAAUUGCCUUUGAUACUGGCUGUCUUGAGUUUGGGAGAGGUGAGUGGAACUCCGAGUGUAGAGGUGAAAUUCGUAGAUAUUCGGAAGAACACCAGUGGCGAAGGCGACUCACUGGCCCAAUACUGACGCUGAGGCGCGAAAGCGUGGGGAGCAAACAGGAUUAGAUACCCUUGUAGUCC
rnacentral:rRNA from 1 species